UUUUAUGGAGAGUUUGAUCCUGGCUCAGGAUGAACGCUGGCGGCGUGCCUAAUACAUGCAAGUCGAGCGAACGGACGAGAAGCUUGCUUCUCUGAUGUUAGCGGCGGACGGGUGAGUAACACGUGGAUAACCUACCUAUAAGACUGGGAUAACUUCGGGAAACCGGAGCUAAUACCGGAUAAUAUUUUGAACCGCAUGGUUCAAAAGUAAAAGACGGUCUUGCUGUCACUUAUAGAUGGAUCCGCGCUGCAUUAGCUAGUUGGUAAGGUAACGGCUUACCAAGGCAACGAUGCAUAGCCGACCUGAGAGGGUGAUCGGCCACACUGGAACUGAGACACGGUCCAGACUCCUACGGGAGGCAGCAGUAGGGAAUCUUCCGCAAUGGGCGAAAGCCUGACGGAGCAACGCCGCGUGAGUGAUGAAGGUCUUCGG
rnacentral:rRNA from 1 species